CGAAAGUGUGGGUAGCAAACAGGAUUAGAUACCCUGGUAGUCCACACCGUAAACGUUGGGCACUAGGUGUGGGGAGGAAUCAACCCUUUCCGUGCCGUAGCUAACGCAUUAAGUGCCCCGCCUGGGGAGUACGGCCGCAAGGCUAAAACUCAAAGGAAUUGGCGGGGGCCCGCACAAGCGGCGGAGCAUGUUGCUUAAUUCGAGGCAACGCGAAGAACCUUACCUAGGUUGAACUACGCAGGAAUAGCCACAGAGAUGUGGUGUCCUUCGGGGCCUGCGAUAGGUGGUGCAUGGCUGUCAUCAGCUCGUGUCGUGAGAUGUUGGGUUAAGUCCCGCAACGAGCGCAACCCUUAUCCUAUGUUGCCAGCGCGUAAUGGCGGGGACUCGUGGGAGACUGCCGGGGUCAACUCGGAGGAAGGUGGGGACGACGUCAAGUCAUCAUGCCCCUUAUGUCUAGGGCUGCAAACAUGCUACAGUGGCUGGUACAAAGGGCUGCGAAACCGCGAGGUCGAGCGAAUCCCAAAAAGCCAGUCUCAGUUCGGAUUGAAGUCUGCAACUCGACUUCAUGAAGCUGGAGUCGCUAGUAAUCCCGGAUCAGCAACGCCGGGGUGAAUACGUUCCCGGGCCUUGUACACACCGCCCGUCACACCACGAAAGUUGGCAACACCAGAAGUCAGUGGCCGAACCCCUCGGGGACGGAGCCGCCGAAGGUGGGGUUAGCGAUUGGA
rnacentral:rRNA from 1 species